CUUGCUUCUUCUGAUUUAGCGGCGGACGGGUGAGUAACACGUGGGCAACCUGCCCUGUAGAUUGGGAUAACUCCGGGAAACCGGGGCUAAUACCGAAUAAUCCAUUUCCUCACAUGAGGAGAUGUUAAAAGACGGUCUCGGCUGUCACUACAGGAUGGGCCCGCGGCGCAUUAGCUAGUUGGUGGGGUAAUGGCUCACCAAGGCGACGAUGCGUAGCCGACCUGAGAGGGUGAUCGGCCACACUGGGACUGAGACACGGCCCAGACUCCUACGGGAGGCAGCAGUAGGGAAUCUUCCACAAUGGACGAAAGUCUGAUGGAGCAACGCCGCGUGAGUGAAGAAGGUUUUCGGAUCGUAAAACUCUGUUGUGAGGGAAGAACAAGUACGAGAGUAACUGCUCGUACCUUGACGGUACCUCAUUAGAAAGCCACGGCUAACUACGUGCCAGCAGCCGCGGUAAUACGUAGGUGGCAAGCGUUGUCCGGAAUUAUUGGGCGUAAAGCGCGCGCAGGCGGUCCUUUAAGUCUGAUGUGAAAGCCCACGGCUCAACCGUGGAAGGUCAUUGGAAACUGGGGGACUUGAGUGCAGAAGAGGAAAGUGGAAUUCCAAGUGUAGCGGUGAAAUGCGUAGAGAUUUGGAGGAACACCAGUGGCGAAGGCGACUUUCUGGUCUGUAACUGACGCUGAG
rnacentral:rRNA from 1 species